GGGAUGUGAUGAGUGGUCAUUUCUCGCUAAUUACUAUGCGAGAUGGGUGUCCGCCCCAAUGCUAGUUACGACAAUACGGGCACUCCCAUCUGUACCAUCUGAUCCC
rfam:Jatropha curcas cultivar GZQX0401 scaffold221_26, whole genome shotgun sequence.